GUAGGGGGCAAGCGUUGUCCGGAUUUAUUGGGCGUAAAGAGCGUGUAGGCGGCUUGGUAGGUCCGCUGUGAAAACUCGAGGCUCAACCUCGAGAUGUCGGCGGAAACCACUUGGCUAGAGUCCGGAAGAGGAGAGUGGAAUUCCUGGUGUAGCGGUGAAAUGCGCAGAUAUCAGGAAGAACACCUAUGGCGAAGGCAGCUCUCUGGGACGGUACUGACGCUGAGACGCGAAAGCGUGGGGAGCGAACAGGAUUAGAUACCCUGGUAGUCCACGCCGUAAACGAUGGGUGCUAGGUGUGGGCGGUGUCGACUCCGUCCGUGCCGAAGCUAACGCAUUAAGCACCCCGCCUGGGGAGUACGGCCGCAAGGCUA
rnacentral:rRNA from 1 species